rnacentral:rRNA from 1 species
CCUACGGGAGGCAGCAGUGGGGGAUAUUGCACAAUGGGGGAAACCCUGAUGCAGCGACGCCGCGUGGGUGAAGAAGUAUUUCGGUAUGUAAAGCCCUAUCAGCAGGGAAGAAAGAAGACGGUACCUGACUAAGAAGCCCCGGCUAACUACGUGCCAGCAGCCGCGGUAAUACGUAGGGGGCGAGCGUUAUCCGGAUUCACUGGGGGUAAAGGGAGCGUAGACGGCCGUGCAAGCCAGGAGUGAAAGCCCGGGGCCCAACCCCGGGACUGCUCUUGGAACUGUGCGGCUGGAGUGCGGGAGGGGCAGGCGGAAUUCCUGGUGUAGCGGUGAAAUGCGUAGAUAUCAGGAGGAACACCGGCGGCGAAGGCGGCCUGCUGGACCGCGACUGACGUUGAGGCUCGAAAGCGUGGGGAGCGAACAGGAUUAGAUACCCCAGUAGUC